UACGUAGGGUGCAAGCGUUGUCCGGAAUUACUGGGCGUAAAGCGCGCGUAGGCGGCUUUUCAAGUCGAUUGUGAAAUCCCCGGGCUUAACCUGGGAACUGCAGUCGAGACUGUCUAGCUAGAGUAUGGGAGAGGGAAGUGGAAUUUCAGGUGUAGCGGUGAAAUGCGUAGAUAUCUGAAGGAACAUCAGUGGCGAAAGCGACUUCCUGGACCAAUACUGACGCUCAUGUGCGAAAGCGUGGGGAGCAAACAGG
rnacentral:rRNA from 1 species